rnacentral:lncRNA from 1 species
AGGAACCAUGGGGCAGUAAGAUCUAUUGCCUAGAUUGACAAACUCUGAGCUCCUUGAAGGCAGGAGUUACGGCUUAUUCAUAUUUAUAUCCAAUCCCAGAAACUAUAACCAUGACCGUGACUUGAAUCUUGUAGGUAGGCAAAAAAUGUGUGUUACAAGUUGAAUAUAUGGGAUUCUUCAGUAUGGCUAUCUUAGGAAGAAUGGACACACAAAAAAGAUAUUAAGUGUCUUAGACCAAACAAGUAUAAAAUUCAACAACUACAACUUUUAUUUUAAAAUAAGCACACAAAUUUAAUGUGCUAGAUUAUCUUUCAUUUAAUUUGGGAGUAGAAUAAUAAUAAAUAACCAUAUAGCAACAAAUAAUGUUGACUUCUUGACGUCUUUGAUUCUUAGUAGCCUUUUUCUCUUCCAAAAAAAAUUUCCUUUACAGAAUAUGCAAGAAGAUUAGUAGAAAAUGAUGUUUAGGGAGGAAAUUAACACCGGCAAACCCAAACCACAAAAUGUACUGUGGGCUUUUUUAAAUAAGUGAUCUCGUUCAGCUCUCUUAGGAAGUCAUUUGCCUUCAUGUUUUGUACUUUUUCAUUUCUUAAGGUGCAAAAGCUGAUAGAUGUUGGGAAGGAAAAUAUGAAGUCUCACUUAGGUUUUGGUUUUUGAAACAGGAAUGUGAGAAUGGAAAGUAAAAUUAAAGAGAAGAGGAUCGUCAUGAUGUCUGUUCUGAUUCCUCUGAAACUUCCUGUAACUUUUGUUUUUCCGAGCACUGAGUGAAGACUUCAGCCUGACACUCCAGAGAAGAAUGCAGUGAGCACAGGGGUGAGACUGAAAUAUACAGCUUGCAAUUCUCUGGCUGUAUUUGGUAUUUUAAGUAGAAUCUGGCAGUAGUUGGCCCAUAUCUGCGUCAAAAACAUCCAUGUUCCGAGAAAAAACCACAUGCAUGAUUCAGCUUAAUUCUUCAAGAUGUGAAAAAGGAAGCCCAUGGGGCUGGCCCAGCGGCCUAAUGGUUAAGUUUGCACGUUCUGCUUCCGUGGCCUGGGUUUGCCUGUUGGGAUCCCAGGCGUGGACCUACACACUGCUUAUCAAGCCAUGCUGUGGCAGGCGUCCCACAUAUAAAAUAGAGGAGGAUGAGCAUGGAUGUUAGCUCAGGGGCAAUCUUCCUCAGCAAAAAGAGGAGAAUUGGUGGCAGAUGUCAGCUCAGGGCUAAUCUUCCUAAAACAAAGAAGCCCAGACACAAAGGGACACAAAAUGUUAAUACUUUGGGUGUCUCAGUUGCCUUAAUCAUGACCACAGAGGGGCUACAUAGGUUUGAGAUGGCUUGAAAUACAUUGACCAGAGCACUAAUGUGCAAUAAAUCUCAAAAAGGAGAAAAAGAUCUAUAAAAA